rnacentral:rRNA from 1 species
CCCUUAGAUGUUCUGGGCCGCACGCGCGCUACACUGAUGCAUUCAACGAGUUUUGUUUGUUCCUUGGCCGAGAGGCCUGGGCAAUCUUUUGAACUUGCAUCGUGAUAGGGGUAGAUUAUUGCAAUUAUUAAUCUUGAACGAGGAAUUCCUAGUAAACGCAAGUCAUCAACUUGCAUUGAUUACGUCCCUGCCCUUUGUACACACCGCCCGUCGCUCCUACCGAUUGAGCGGUCCGGUGAAGACUCAGGAGAUGGGCGCGUGCUUGGUUCGCCAACUGCGCUGCCUGCCAAAUUUGUCUAAACCUUAUCGCUUAGAGGAAGGAGAAGUCGUAACA